AUUGAACGCUGGCGGCAUGCUUUACACAUGCGAGUCGAACGGUAACAGGCCUUCGGGUGCUGACGAGUGGCGAACGGGUGAGUAAUGCAUCGGAACGUACCCAGAGGUGGGGGAUAACGCAGCGAAAGCUGUGCUAAUACCGCAUGUGAUCUGAGGAUGAAAGCGGGGGACCGAGCAGCAAUGCUUGGCCUCGCGCCUUUGGAGCGGCCGAUGUCGGAUUAGCUAGUUGGUGGGGUAAAGGCCUACCAAGGCGACGAUCCGUAGCUGGUCUGAGAGGACGACCAGCCACACUGGGACUGAGACACGGCCCAGACUCCUACGGGAGGCAGCAGUGGGGAAUUUUGGACAAUGGGCGCAAGCCUGAUCCAGCAAUGCCGCGUGCGGGAAGAAGGCCUUCGGGUUGUAAACCGCUUUUGGCAGGAACGAAACGGUGUCCGCUAAUACCGGGCGCUAAUGACGGUACCUGCAGAAUAAGCACCGGCUAACUACGUG
rnacentral:rRNA from 1 species